CUCCCCAGGCGGUCUACUUAUCGCGUUAGCUGCGCCACUAAAGGAUCAAAUCCCCCAACGGCUAGUAGACAUCGUUUACGGCAUGGACUACCAGGGUAUCUAAUCCUGUUUGCUCCCCAUGCUUUCGCACCUCAGUGUCAGUAUUAGGCCAGAUGGCUGCCUUCGCCAUCGGUAUUCCUCCAGAUCUCUACGCAUUUCACCGCUACACCUGGAAUUCUACCAUCCUCUCCCAUACUCUAGCUAACCAGUAUCGAAUGCAAUUCCCAAGUUAAGCUCGGGGAUUUCACAUUUGACUUAAUUAACCACCUACGCGCGCUUUACGCCCAGUAAAUCCGAUUAACGCUCGCACCCUCUGUAUUACCGCGGCUGCUGGCACAGGGUUAGCCGGUGCUUAUUCUGUGGGUAACGUCCACUCUUCCUAGGUAUUAACCAAGAGAGCCUCCUCCCCACUUAAAGUGCUUUACAACCAAAAGGCCUUCUUCACACACGCGGCAUGGCUGGAUCAGGGUUCCCCCCAUUGUCCAAUAUUCCCCACUGCUGCCUCCCGUAGGAGUCU
rnacentral:rRNA from 1 species